GUCGGGUGUGGGGCUCCGUGGCGUUCGCCACCCUGGUUCCUCAGCACCCUUGGGCUGGGGCUGUCGAGCCCGCCCAAAAAGGUCGUUUCCCCUGCGGUUUCCAACAUGGCAGGUAGGUUUUAUAGACAUGGAUAAGAAGUCCACACACAGAAGUCCUGAAGAUGCCGGGACUGGUAGAAACGGAGGUAAACACAAACAAAAGAAAAAAGCAAAGCAAAACCGAAAACACCACCAAUCCCGACACAGAUCAACAUCUCAUUCUUCAGUUGACUAUGUGUUUCCUGCUUCUUCAUCAUCAUCUUCAGGAAGCCAGACGGAUUCAAGUAUUGAAGGUGCUCCCAAGGGAAAAAUUAAAAGAAAGAGAGGUGAGAAAAGGAAUAAAUGGAAAAAAAAGAAAGAAAGG